rnacentral:rRNA from 1 species
UACGAAGGGGGCUAGCGUUGCUCGGAUUGACUGGGCGUAAAGGGCGCGUAGGCGGUUCGUACAGUCAGACGUGAAAUUCCUGGGCUCAACCUGGGGGCUGCGUUUGAUACGUGCGGACUUGAGUGCGGAAGAGGGUCGUGGAAUUCCCAGUGUAGAGGUGAAAUUCGUAGAUAUUGGGAAGAACACCAGUGGCGAAGGCGGCCAACUGGUCCGAAACUGACGCUGAGGCGCGACAGCGUGGGGAGCAAACAGG